UACGGAGGGUGCAAGCGUUGUCCGGAAUCACUGGGUUUAAAGGGUGCGUAGGCGGCAUGAUAAGUCAGGGGUGAAAGCCUGCAGCUCAACUGUAGAAUCGCCUUUGAUACUGUUAUGCUUGAAUUAGGUUGAGGUCGGCGGAAUGUGACAUGUAGCGGUGAAAUGCAUAGAUAUGUCAUAGAACACCAAUUGCGAAGGCAGCUGGCUAGACCUGAAUUGACGCUGAGGCACGAAAGCGUGGGGAGCGAACAGG
rnacentral:rRNA from 1 species